rnacentral:rRNA from 1 species
GCCAAAAAUCUAGCCCUAUACUAACUUAUGAUCACCUAAUCUAGACACAUAAACAAAACAUUUUCUUCAUUAAGUAAAGGCGAUUGAAAUAACAAUUAGAGCUAUAACUAUAGUACCGCAAGGAAAAGAUGAAAUAAAUAUGAAAUAGACCUCCAGCACAAAAAAGCAGAGACUUAUCCUCGUACCUUUCGCAUCAUGAUUUAACUAGUUCAACCAAGCACAAAGAACUUUAGUUUGACUUCCCGAAACUAGGCGAGCUACUUCGAGGCAGCCUAAUGAGCCCACCCGUCUCUGUUGCAAAAGAGUGGGAAGACCCCCAAGUAGCGGUGACAGACCUAACGAGCUUAGUGAUAGCUGGUUACUUAAGAAAAGGAUUUAAGUCCUACCUAAAGCAUUACUAUUACUACUAAGCACCUCUUAUGCUUUAGAGCCACUCAAAUGAGGUACAGCCCAUUUGAAAUAAGGAUACAACCUACACUAAUGGGUAAUUCUACACAAUAACUUAAGUAAGUAGGCCUAAAAGCAGCCACCUUUAAAAUAGCGUCAAAGCUUUCUUAUCCAGUGCACUAAUACCAUAAUAAACCAAAACCCCUUUACACGUAUUAAGUUACUCUAUAACCCCUAUAGAAGUAUUUAUGUUAAAACUAGUAAUAAGAAGAUAGUCCUUCUCUUUGAUGUAAUUGUAAACCAGAAAGGACAAACCACUGUUAAUUAGUCAUCAAUGAACGCAUAACAGCAACCUAACCAGAAAACCCUGUUUUCACUGAUGUUAACCUGACACUAGCACAUCACAAGAAAGAUUUAAAGAAAAAGAAGGAACUCGGCAAAUAUUAACCCCGCCUGUUUACCAAAAACAUCGCCUCUCGACACUUAUGAGAGGUCCAGCCUGCCCAGUGACCAAGUUCAACGGCCGCGGUAUCCUAACCGUGCGAAGGUAGCGUAAUCACUUGUUCUUUAAAUGAGGACUAGUAUGAAUGGCACCACGAGGGCUAUACUGUCUCCUUUUUUUAAUCAAUGAAACUGAUCUCCCCGUGAAGAAGCGGGGAUAAACCUAUAAGACGAGAAGACCCUAUGGAGCUUCAAACAACGAUAGCACUGGCCCCCAUUUUUUACCCUCGAGAGAUACCACCAUUAUACUGGCCAAGAUGCCUAUCAGUUUUAGGUUGGGGUGACCGCGGAGCAAAAACCAACCUCCACGUUGAACGGAACUACUCCUGAGCCAAAAGCUACAGCUUUAAGCACCAACAAACUGACAUUAAUUGACCCAACAUGUUGAUCAACGAACCAAGUUACCCUAGGGAUAACAGCGCAAUCCAUUUUAAGAGCCCCUAUCGACAAAUGGGUUUACGACCUCGAUGUUGGAUCAGGGUACCCCAGUGGUGCAGCCGCUACUAAAGGUUCGUUUGUUCAACGAUUAAACCCU